ACGGGGCGCAGCAGGCGCGAAACCUUUACACUGCACGCAAGUGCGAUAAGGGGACCCCAAGUGCGAGGGCAUAUAGUCCUCGCUUUUCUCGACCGUAAGGCGGUCGAGGAAUAAGAGCUGGGCAAGACCGGUGCCAGCCGCCGCGGUAAUACCGGCAGCUCAAGUGAUGACCGAUAUUAUUGGGCCUAAAGCGUCCGUAGCCGGCCACGAAGGUUCAUCGGGAAAUCCGCCAGCUCAACUGGCGGGCGUCCGGUGAAAACCACGUGGCUUGGGACCGGAAGGCUCGAGGGGUACGUCCGGGGUAGGAGUGAAAUCCCGUAAUCCUGGACGGACCACCGAUGGCGAAAGCACCUCGAGAAGACGGAUCCGACGGUGAGGGACGAAAGCUAGGGUCUCGAACCGGAUUAGAUACCCGGGUAGUCCUAGCUGUAAACGAUGCUCGCUAGGUGUGACACAGGCUACGAGCCUGUGUUGUGCCGUAGGGAAGCCGAGAAGCGAGCCGCCUGGGAAGUACGUCCGCAAGGAUGAAACUUAAAGGAAUUGGCGGG
rnacentral:rRNA from 1 species